rnacentral:lncRNA from 1 species
CGCAAUGUUGAUUUGGGUCCCAGAGCUGGGCUGACGUUUAAAUGCUGCGAGUUGGGGGUUCCGCCACCACAAGGAGAUGGGGCUGCCACCACCAUUGCAGGCUAUGAUAGCACUGGCUGGAUGUGUGUGUGUGUGUGUUACAUGGUUGGGGGUGCGUGACCCCAUACCUGUAAGACUACCCAUACGAGCCGAAGGCCCAAGGCCAAUACUACAACGCCUAAAAGCCACGGAGGAAAGGAAAGCACCGCACAUCAGCCCAGACUAGCGUCCAAAGGGGGUAAUUGAAUUUCGGUGAGCCCACAUACGUUCCAACAUCCUCAACAGACGUGCGGGUUCCCAUUUCAUGGCUGGAUGUGGCUCACGUGCGAUCUAGGCAUAGGGUUAUGGGGCAAGCGGUUUACAGGAAGUUGAGCUUUGAAUGAGGGACUUAACCUCCUCAAGGAUAUGAGGCCAGAGGCUUUCCCGUUGACGCGGUGGGGCCCUAUGGCGCUCGUAUUAGCAACACCAUGCCGUGAAUACCCUGCAAUUGGUCACACACUACCGUUUCGCGCCUUCGUCCACUGGCAAACACAAAGCGGGUCCAUGCCAUACACCUGCGUACGACAUCACAAAGAUGGGCCCGGUAACCAUCCAUUAGUGACCGGGGCGAGGUGCGCAAUAGGGUCCCCCUCCAUCCCUGGACCUGAACCUUGCCAGGCACAUCCUUGGACCUGCAGAUAAGUAGCCGGCGGCGGAGGGGGCCCGGUUCCCUUCCUUUCCCCAACCCGCCCCGCCCCGCGGCCGAGGAUGAGACGCAUCUCCGUCCUUGCUUUUGCUACCUUGUCCUUGACCUUGACCUCGACAGCUAUUCCCAGGAAGGCUCAGCCUAGUAUACAGUCUUAACGGGCUGCUGCAACUGGACCGACGCGUCCAAAGUGCAGUGCGACACGUGAGACGCGGACGGUAGAUAGAUGCUGCCCGAAAACUGCGACUGUGUGGGUCAGCACCUUCGAUGAUGCAGUUUAGGCACCAGGGAAGACCUGGUCUCCUGUAGCUACCGUUAUCGAAGCCUACUCUCCAAUUGUGGGUCAACGUGCGCUAUUCGUUGACGCCUCAGUUCCCACCAGCACCUUUGAUGGUGGGGUAAUAGGGAGAAGAGGGCAGGAAGCAAAGCCACCAAGGGAUACGCCCUAAGGGACACCGCCCCAGCUACUCACGAGAACGCUGGCGCCAGGGAACUGAAGUUAAGGCAUACAUGUUCCCCAGUAAUUGACACCACCCAACGUAUCUUUAUGCACUGGAAGCAACCGCAGCGGCCGGCCAUCCAUGUAAAGGCCGCGAUGGGAGCUUUCGGGGCUAGGCGCGAGCCACCUCAAUCGCCUAGGGUGCAGUCGUGUAUUUGCAUAUUUGGCAUAGAAAACGUCAGGCUUUUAUCGACGCAAACUUGCCCCCAUAUUGCAAGGUGCAGUGUAUGUUAUAAGCCUCGUUAUCAUAUGGCUAUGCCAUAGCUUAUGGCCGUCUAAUUCCCUGGUAAGUGUGUCGUUUAGGCGGAUGACGGUAAACCAUGGAGAACGGCGGUAUUGAGAAUCGGCUUCAAGUGCGCUUUCCUAACUUCAUCUUCGGUACCAUCAGAUUGCUUAAAGAUGUCCCUGCCAAAGAGUAGAUUACAGCACUACAUUCUGAAUUCGCAUUUGCAAAAUCUCGUUGGAAAUGGAAGAAACCGAAUACAGUAGUGUCCCGUAGACUCCCUUUCUUUGCCUCGGUUAUCGCAGCAUCGGCCAUCAGUUCCAAGCAUCUCUUCGUUGUGCCAUUAGAAUCACUGCGGGAAUGGAGGGUGAGGCAGACGUCACUAGCAGUGCCGGUCCGGAGACUCGCAGCGGUCGUUCCCAUGAGGUAGGACGCUUGAACAUGAACAUCUAUGUUGAUCACUGCAGCUCGGUCCAUCGUCAAUGCCUGUGAACUUUCUUUUUCAACUGGAGGUGAUUUGGCUCGAAGCUUUCCGUUCGAAAGUUUAUUUUAUAUUGUCCAUUAAGAAGGCAGAGUCCAUUUUAUAAUCCG